rnacentral:rRNA from 1 species
AGCUCCAAUAGCGUAUAUUAAAGUUGUUGUAGUUAAAAAGCUCGUAGUUGGAUUUGUGGUGUGUCCAGCUGGCCUUUGCUCUUUGAGUGAUUGUGCUGUGCUGGUCUGCCAUGUUUGGGUGGAAUCUGUGUGGCAUUAAGUUGUCGUGCAGGGGAUGCCCAUCGUUUACUGUGAAAAAAUUAGAGUGUUCAAAGCAGGCUUAUGCCGUUGAAUAUAUUAGCAUGGAAUAAUGAUAUAGGACCUUGGUACUAUUUUGUUGGUUUGCGCACUAAGGUAAUGAUUAAGAGGGACAGUUGGGGGUAUUUGUAUUCCAUUGUCAGAGGUGAAAUUCUUAGAUUUUUGGAAGACAAACUACUGCGAAAGCAUUUACCAAGGAUGUUUUCAUUAAUCAAGAACGAAA